rnacentral:rRNA from 1 species
AUUGAACGCUGGCGGCAGGCCUAACACAUGCAAGUCGAACGGUAACAGGAAGAAGCUUGCUUCUUUGCUGACGAGUGGCGGACGGGUGAGUAAUGUCUGGGAAACUGCCUGAUGGAGGGGGAUAACUACUGGAAACGGUAGCUAAUACCGCAUAACGUCGCAAGACCAAAGAGGGGGACCUUCGGGCCUCUUGCCAUCGGAUGUGCCCAGAUGGGAUUAGCUAGUAGGUGGGGUAACGGCUCACCUAGGCGACGAUCCCUAGCUGGUCUGAGAGGAUGACCCAGCCAACUUGAAACGGGGAACGGUCCAGACUCCCAAGGGAAGGAGGCGUGGGGAAAAAUGGCAAAUGGGGGGCAGCCUGAUGCAGCCAUGCCGCGUGUAUGAAGAAGGCCUUCGGGUUGUAAAGUACUUUCAGCGGGGAGGAAGGGAGUAAAGUUAAUACCUUUGCUCAUUGACGUUACCCGCAGAAGAAGCACCGGCUAACUCCGUG